rnacentral:rRNA from 1 species
UACGAAGGGGGCUAGCGUUGCUCGGAAUCACUGGGCGUAAAGCGCACGUAGGCGGCUUGUUAAGUCAGGGGUGAAAUCCUGGAGCUCAACUCCAGAACUGCCUUUGAUACUGGCGAGCUUGAGUCCGGGAGAGGGAUGCGGAAUUCCAGGUGUAGCGGUGAAAUGCGUAGAUAUCUGGAGGAACACCGGUGGCGAAGGCGGCAUCCUGGACCGGCAUUGACGCUGAGGCGCGAAAGCCAGGGGAGCAAACGGG